rnacentral:rRNA from 1 species
UACGGAGGAUCCAAGCGUUAUCCGGAUUUAUUGGGUUUAAAGGGUGCGUAGGCGGCCUGUUAAGUCAGGGGUGAAAGACGGUAGCUCAACUAUCGCAGUGCCCUUGAUACUGAUGGGCUUGAAUGGACUAGAGGUAGGCGGAAUGUGACAAGUAGCGGUGAAAUGCAUAGAUAUGUCACAGAACACCAAUUGCGAAGGCAGCUUACUAUGGUAUUAUUGACGCUGAGGCACGAAAGCGUGGGGAUCAAACAGG